rnacentral:siRNA from 1 species
UCAACCCGUGGAUCUGCGGUUGGG